GGUGGGGACUCUAAAGAUACUGCCCCGGUCAACGGGGAGGAAGGUGGGGAUGACGUCAAGUCCUCAUGGCCUUUAUGCCCAGGGCUACACACGUGCUACAAUGGGCUGUACAAAGGGUUGCAACAUCGCGAGAUGAAGCUAAUCCCGUAAAGCAGUUCGUAGUUCGGAUUGGAGUCUGCAGCUCGACUCCAUGAAGCUGGAAUCGCUAGUAAUCGUGGAUCAGCAUGCCACGGUGAAUACGUUCCCGGGCCUUGUACACACCGCCCGUCACAUCACGAAAGUCAGCUGCUCUUGAAGUCGCUGAGCCAACCCGCAAGGGAGGCAACUGCCCAUGGUAUGGUCGGCGAUUGGGGUGAAGUCGUAACAAGGUAGCUGUAGAGAACCUGUGGCUGGAUCACCUCCUUUCUGA
rnacentral:sRNA from 1 species